GACGAACGCUGGCGGCGUGCUUAACACAUGCAAGUCGAACGGAAAGGCGCUGCUUUUGUGGGGUGCUCGAGUGGCGAAGGGGUGAGUAACACGUGAGUAACCUGCACUUGACUGUGGGAUAACUUCAGGAGACUCGGGCUCAUACCGGGUAGGAGCUCCUGAUGCAUGGGGGGGGUUGGAAAGUUUCGGCGGUUGGGGAUGGAAUCGCGGCUUAUCAGCUUGUUGGUGGAGUAGGUGCUUACCAAGGCUUUGACGGGUAGCCGGCAUGGGAGGGUGACCGGCGACAUUGGUACUGCGAUACGGCCCAGACGCGUACGGGAGGCAGCAGGCGGGAACAUUGCACAACGGGCGGAAGCCUGAUGCAGCAACGCCGCGUGCGGGAUGACGGCCUUCGGGUUGUAAACCGCUUUCGCCUGUGACGAAGCGUGAGUGACGGUAAUGGGUAAAGAAGCACCGGCUAACUACGUG
rnacentral:rRNA from 1 species